rnacentral:rRNA from 1 species
UACAGAGGUCUCAAGCGUUGUUCGGAUUCAUUGGGCGUAAAGGGUGCGCAGGUGGCGAGGCAAGUCGGAUGUGAAAUCCCGGGGCUCAACCCCGGAACUGCAUUCGAUACUGCCUUGCUAGAGUGCUGGAGAGGAGAUUGGAAUUUACGGUGUAGCAGUGAAAUGCGUAGAUAUCUGGAGGAACACCGGUGGCGAAGGCGGCAUCCUGGACCGACACUGACGCUGAGGAGCGAAAGCCAGGGGAGCAAACGGG